rnacentral:rRNA from 1 species
GAUGAACGCUGGCGGCGUGCUUAACACAUGCAAGUCGAACGAUGAUGCCCAGCUUGCUGGGUGGAUUAGUGGCGAACGGGUGAGUAACACGUGAGUAACCUGCCCUUGACUCUGGGAUAAGCCUGGGAAACUGGGUCUAAUACCGGAUACGACCAUCUGGCGCAUGUCAUGGUGGUGGAAAGCUUUUGUGGUUUUGGAUGGACUCGCGGCCUAUCAGCUUGUUGGUGGGGUAAUGGCCUACCAAGGCGACGACGGGUAGCCGGCCUGAGAGGGUGACCGGGCAGAAUGGGACGGAGCAGCGGACGAGACUCCUGCGGGAGGCAGCGGUGGGGAAUAUUGCGCGAGGGGCGGAAGGUUGUUGCCGGGUGGCAGCGGGAGGGAUGACGGACUUCGGGUUGAAAACAUCUUACCGUAGGGAAGAAGCGAAAGAGACGGUGCCUUAAGAAGAAGCACCGGCUAAGUACGUG